UAGACUAGUGUGUGGCAGGCUGCCACACAUUGCGUUUUGUUAUUUUUUUAACGCUUCUUAAAACAUGCAUUCGUUCAGCUGCAUUUUCUUUCCCUGCUCUCUUCCUUUCUGAAAAAAAGUC